rnacentral:lncRNA from 1 species
UGUAAACCUUUACAAGUACUGGUAUUUAUAAGCAAAUGCUAAUCCUAUUGGCCAUAAGUUGUAGCCUACAAAAAUAUAGUCUUGCUCGGCUACAUGGAUAAUAUGUGAUACCUUCCACCUCUUGAAAUUUGUGGCACCCGCGAUUGAGUUGUCUUUCAUAUUGCUAUAGAGAAUGUGGAGUUGAAUUUGAAUAAACAACCAACAAUUCUUGAGGAAAAAGAACUCUAAUUAAAAAAGGAGCAUCAUGAAAUUCCUGGACAAGAGACCACUAUUGUAGUUGAAGCAACUACCACCACACAAAUUUAAAAUAACAAAGUGUAUUGCUUACAAAAAGCCAAGAAUGAGGAGAGGCAAAAUCAAGCAAUACAUACCUGAAAAGAGUACGAGUUAAGAAGAAGAGGAAGCAUAAGAGGAUGGAGAGGAUGUUGUGAUUUAUGAGUCACGUGGUCUAGUGACUUAUAAAACGAAAAGAGAAAUAGAAAAAGUCAUUUCACCACCUAAGAAUGUCAUACCAAAGGUGGCCCCUCCUCCAACCCAAAGAAUUUUGAGGGAGAAGACUUGUGUGCAGUUGUGGUUGAGGAGAAAACUACGACUUGAGGGAUCAUCAACUGGAAAUGAGAUCUAAUUGGGUGAUGAUUCAAAUGAUGCAGCAUGUGUUGAAGCUAGAAGGGAUACAAACCUCUGAAUAGUGUUGUAGCUUGCUCUAGCAUUAUUCUGGGUAGUAAGUGCUCUAACAACUUUUGAUAUUCCUUUUUGUUUAGAUAUUUUUUAUUAGUAUUUAACAUUAGAG